UACGAAGGGGGGAAGCGUUGUCCGGGUUUACUGGGCUUAAAGGGCGCGUAGGCGGGCGGGUAAGUCUGGGGUGAAAUUCUUUCGCUCAACGGGGGCGGUGCCCUGGAUACUGCCGGUCGUGAGGCGGGAAGAGGAUGGUGGAAUGCGUGGGGUAGCGGUGAAAUGCGUAGAGAUCAGGCAGAACACCGAUUGCGAAGGCAGGCAACUGGGCCCGAACUGACGCUGAGGCACGAAAGCGUGGGGAUCAAACAGG
rnacentral:rRNA from 1 species